GACGAACGCUGGCGGCGUGCUUAACACAUGCAAGUCGAACGAAGAGCGAUGGAAGCUUGCUUCUCUCAAUCUUAGUGGCGCACGGGUGAGUAACGCGUAAUCAACCUGCCCUUCAGAGGGGGACAACAGUUGGAAACGACUGCUAAUACCGCAUACGAUCUAAUCUCGGCAUCGAGGAUAGAUGAAAGGUGGCCCCUACAUGUAAGCUAUCACUGAAGGAGGGGAUUGCGUCUGAUUAGCUAGUUGGAGGGGUAACGGCCCACCAAGGCGAUGAUCAGUAGCCGGUCUGAGAGGAUGAACGGCCACAUUGGGACUGAGACACGGCCCAGACUCCUACGGGAGGCAGCAGUGGGGAAUCUUCCGCAAUGGACGAAAGUCUGACGGAGCAACGCCGCGUGAGUGAUGACGGCCUUCGGGUUGUAAAGCUCUGUUAAUCGGGACGAAAGGCCUUCUUGCGAAUAGUGAGAAGGAUUGACGGUACCGGAAUAGAAAGCCACGGCUAACUACGUG
rnacentral:rRNA from 1 species